AAACAUGUCUUUUUGAAUUAUAUUUAAAGUCUGACCUGCCCACUGAAUAAUAAUUUUAAAUGGCCGCAGUAUUUUGACUGUGCAAAGGUAGCAUAAUCAUUAGUCUUUUAAUUGAAGGCUGGUAUGAAUGGUUGGACGAAGUAUAAGCUGUUUCAUAUAAAUUUAUAAUAGAAUUUUAUAUUUUAGUUAAAAAGCUAAAAUUUUAUUAAAAGACGAGAAGACCCUAUAAAUCUUUAUAAUUAAUAUUAAUUAAAUUUUUUUGAUUUAUUUUAUUUUUUUGAUAUUAAUUAUUUUGUUGGGGUGAUAUUAAAAUUUAAUGAACUUUUAAUUUUUUAAAUCAUUAAUUUAUGAAUUAUUGAUCCAUUAGUAUUGAUUAUAAGAUUAAGUUACUUUAGGGAUAACAGCGUAAUUUUUUUUGAGAGUUCAUAUCGACAAAAAAGUUUGCGACCUCGAUGUUGGAUUAAGGUAUAAUUUUGGGUGUAGCUGUUCAAAAAUUAAGUCUGUUCGACUUUUAAAUCCUUACAUGAUC
rnacentral:rRNA from 1 species